AAAGGGAUUUAGGGGUGAGUUACUAAGUCAGUGUGUGUAAAGGGAUUUAGGGGUGAGUUACUAAGUCAGUGUGUGUGUGAAGGGGUUUAGGGAGUGAGCUACUAAGUCAGUGUGUGUGUGAAGGGGUUUAGGGGUGAGCUACUAAGUCAGUGUGUGUGUGUGUGGGUUUAGGGGUGAGCUACUAAUAUCAGUGUGUGUGUGAAGGGGUUUAGGGGUGAGCUACUAAGUCAGUGUGUGUGUGAAGGGGUUUAGGGGUGAGCUACUAAGUCAGUGUGUGUGUGAAGGGGUUUAGGGAGUGAGCUACUAAGUCAGUGUGUGUGUGAAGGGGGAUUUAGGGAGUGAGCUACUAAGACAGUGUGUGUGUGAAGGGGUUUAGGGAGUGAGCUACUAAGUCAGUGUGUGUGUGUGUGAAGGGGUUUCGGGAGUGAGCUACUAAGUCAGUGUGUGUGUGAAGGGGUUUAGGGGUGAGCUACUACGUUAGUGUGUGUGUGAAGGGGUUUAGGGGUGAGCUACUAAGACAGUGUGUGUGCGAAGGGGUUUAGGGGUGAGCUACUAAGUCAGUGUGUGUGUGAAGGGGUUUAGGGGUGAGCUACUAAGUCAG
rnacentral:lncRNA from 1 species